GAGAAAGGCUUCUUGUUACUCAUAUUAACAUUAUUGCUUCUAUGUUUCAAUAGAUUAGUCCGGUAUUGGGCUAGGAGUUUGUUAUUAGUUGAUGGCUGCUUUUAGGCCUACUAUGGUAGUAUUAAGAUUUUACUCUCUAGUCAAG
rnacentral:lncRNA from 1 species